UGGAAUUGAACUCAGGACCUCUGGAACA
rnacentral:piRNA from 1 species